rnacentral:rRNA from 1 species
GACGAACGCUGGCGGCGUGCUUAACACAUGCAAGUGGAGCGACGAACCGGGGCUUGCCCCGGGGCAGAGCCGCGAACGGGUGAGUAACACGUGGGUAACCCACCCCGAUGACCGGGACAACCCGAGGAAACUCGGGCUAAUACCGGAUGUGCUCCUUGACCUCGAGGUCAAGGCGUAAAGAUAGCUUCGGCCUUCGCAUC